rnacentral:rRNA from 1 species
UAGCGAGGGGUGCAAGCGUUGCUCGGAAUUAUUGGGCGUAAAGGGUAGGUAGGUGGUCUCAUUUGUCUGGGGUGAAAGCCUUGAGCUUAACUCAAGAAGUGCCCCAGAAACGGUGAGACUGGAGUCCUGGAGAGGGUCGUGGAAUUCCCGGUGUAGCGGUGAAAUGCGUAGAGAUCGGGAGGAACACCAGAGGCGAAAGCGGCGACCUGGACAGGCACUGACACUCAACUACGAAAGCGUGGGGAGCAAACAGG